rnacentral:rRNA from 1 species
AUGAUAGAUUUGUUAGGCCCACCGGCUCUUUUGUUCAAUGGAACUACUUUAACCUUGGAACAUGUGAUGCAAAUACUUGAUAUUAUUGAGAAUAAAAUUGCUACUGCAGAAUUGAUUGAAAAUUUGGAUAAAAAGAUUCAUAAUCAAAUUACUCAAUAUGGAUCUAAGGUGGGAGUUACUCUUAAGAAUCUUAGAGAAAAGGAACCCAUAGUUAAUGAAGAAAUAGAUCAAGAUUCAACUAGAAUUGAUAAACUCGAAGACAUUAUUACCAACUUGGGUUCCACUUUUUCUGCUGUUAAAAACACUUCAAAUCUUCCUCCUACCAAAGUUGCCAAGUUUAUCUAUGUUCCUAAGAAUAAGGGUGAAUCUUCUAGUAAGGAAAAUGAAGAUCUCAAAUCAAUAAGUGUUCACCCCAACCUUUUCGAUAUUAUUAAGGAACCUUUUGCCACGAAUGAAUUUCUCGACUUCUUGCCUAGGAGUUUGAUCAUUGAUAAAACCAAAGAGUCUCCUAAGGAUUAUACGUGUUCAAUUGAAGAAUUACAUGCCAAAGAUGGCAAUACCUAG